rnacentral:lncRNA from 1 species
UAAUUUAAAAGUAAGUUUUCAAGUAGCUAGAGUGUGCUUGGUUGAAAAAAAAAAUAAAAUAAAAAGAAAGUGCUUUUGUUGUAGCUAGAAGCAGAAACAUAACGAUCGAUCUGAGCCUCAAAAAUAGAAGUUUCAAAUUGAUACUUUUCGGUUUUAACAUAUUUAUGGUAAUUUAAUGUUGUAGUUUUUUAAAAAAUAAAACUACUCAGACGACGACACUUAAUUAAACAUCAUUACACGGUGGAGCAGAUCCAAACAAAUACUUAACUCUAAAUUUAAGAUUAAGAUACUUUAAGAUGUAUUUAUUUUAAUAAAACAAUAUAGACAAUAAUAUUUAAUUAAAUAUCAUUGUCUGACUUUUAGCAAUUAAUUACUGCCAUAAAAAAUAUUUUUAAUAAAGUAUUAAUGGCCAUACUUUUAGUUCUGAAAUUUUAAGUCCCACAGUCAUAUUUAACUAAUAAAUAUUGAUGUGCUGCAUUUGUGCCAAAAAUAUAAUAAUGUAAUGAAUCACAAAAUCACAAAAUAAUAAUUAAGAUACAUUACUCCCACGUCAACGACAUAUUAGCCUCUAGCCAACUAAAAUAGGUUGCGGGAUUUUAUUCUAUCAAUUUCAGAAGUUCGACCCAGAGAUUGAAUUAAACAUAUUAAACUUUGAAGGGCAAAGCAUCAUGCCCUUCAUAGUUUGAGGACCAACAGUAAAAUCUAGCCCUACUUUUUAGAGAGACAGAGAAAGGUAGCAAGAUAUCUGCUUUGUUACUUUUUCGGUACUAACUAGUAAAUUCUUAGCCAACUGCGAUAGAUAUGAUUGAUAGUUUGGCAUAAAUUAAUGUUCGAUACCUCUAACGCUUAACGUUGUCGACAGUCUGGCGGUCCUUCGUGGAGCGUGUUGUUGGGAAGAAGAGAUAGCACGACGGCAAACCUGGCUAGCGCCAUGAACCUUCCGAGCCCCUUCGAUACCCUAAGCAAACUUCGGUCCAAGUUCUCCAAUGUCGGCCUCAGCGACACCGAUCUCGUCGCCUUGUCGGGUUAGUCGCUCCGCAAAAUCUCAAAAAUCAUACAUUUUUCUCGUCUUAUAUUAAAUUCUGAUCUUAUUUUGGUCUAUAAUUUAACAGGUGCCCACACAUUUGGUCGAGCACAAUGUCGGUUCUUCAACCAACGCCUGUACAACUUCAACAACACAGGCCGACCCGACCCGACCCUAGACACGACCUAUCUGGCUACGUUACAGCAGAGUUGCCCUAAAAAUGCAAACCUAAACGGAUUGAACAAUCUCGACCCGACCACGCCCAAUAAGUUCGAUAAAAACUACUACUCCAAUGUCGAGAACAAACGCGGCCUCCUCCAGUCCGACCAGGAGCUGCUCUCGUCGUCGGACGCGGCGUCGACCACCGCACCGAUCGUAAAUAGUUUCGCCAGCAGCAAGAGCACCUUCUUUCGCGCGUUCGCGACGUCGAUGAUCAACAUGGGGAAUAUAAGCCCGUUAACCGGGAGUCGAGGGGAGAUUAGAAGUAAUUGCAGAAAAAUAAAUGGAAGUUGAAGGAUUUUUACAAAAAAAAUUUUGCAUCGGUUGAAUAAGUUCAAAGGUGUGUGACAAAUUUAUUGUAUGUGUAAAAUGAAAAAUAUAAUUGUGUUCUCAAUGAGAGAGCAUAUGUGUACAACAAAUUAUUUGUUUCUCUUUUUUUUUUUUUUUAAUGAAAUAAAGAGGGGAGCUUUAAGUGCUCUUUGGAGUGUUAUGAACAAGUUAAUUGUAUGGAUCGAUACCAUUAAAUUUUAGGGGUUUAUUAUUAUUCAAAAUUUUUAAAUUAACCCACUGCAACAAAAACGGUCCAUAGCGACACUUUUAAAUGUAGGUACAUGUUAAAAAAGUGCUGCUAGCUAAAAUUACCGACACUUUUAAAAAGUGUUGCUAUAUGUGGGAUCGCUAGGUAUAUAGUGACAGUUAAAGAGUGUCGCUAUAACCUAAAAAAGUGCUGCUAAUUUACCAACACUUAUUUAAGCAUUUAGCAACCGCCAAAACUCUAUCUCGUUGGCUGCGGUAGCGGAGGAGGACGACAGUAAAGGCUCUUCCUCUAGAAUUUCAGUGGAUUGAGUGAAGAGAGAAGAAAAGAUGGUAAUUGAUUUUUCUUUUUUUUUUUUCUUUUCUGUUUGUAAUCGGACCAAAUGGACUAGGUGUGGUGAGUUGAGUUGAGUAAUCUUUUUUUUUUGGUUGGAUUGGGCUUUGUAUUUAGGCAUUAGUAGAUGUGUUUUUAAGUUUUAACAUAAAUGGGACACUUACUUAAAAGUGUUCCAAACAUGUGUCCCUAUAACCUAAUUCUGUUGUAGUGACCUUUUUAUUCUCAAAAGUUAAGUAAUUACUUACUCCACUAAAUUUAUGAUUUCGAAAAAUUACAUAAAAUAUAUUAAUUAUACUCAUAAAUAUAAAUAUAGUAUUCAAGUUUCUAAAUCAAUGUGCCGUUAACGGACUCCAGUCAAAUAAAUUGAAAGAUUAGAUAAUAAAAUUAAAAUUUUAAAAGAUUAAAUGGCCCAUUCAAAAUGAUCUAUAAUUCAAAUAAUUAAAAUUCAAGAUUUUAAUUUUACUAUCAAAUCUUUCAAUUUAUUUGAUUUGAAUCAAUCAGCGGCACUUUAGCUUCAAAAUUUUAAUUCGUCAUUUAUCUUCAAUAGAUUCAUUUAGUAUAUUUUAUAUAAUUUUCACAACUAUAAGUCUGUUAAAUAAAUAAUUAACUUAAAUUUUUAAGUCAAAGUACCAUUGACCAAUUAAAAUCAAACAAAUUUAAAAUUUUGAAAAAUUGGAUAGGCAAAUCCAAAUGAUCCAUGAUAAGUUUCGUACUUUUUACCUAAAAUUUGUUCUUUAUAUAAAGAGUAAACUUCAAAUGCCACCAUUGUGGUUUCGCACUUUUUCACUUUAGUACCCUGUGGUUUAAAUUAUAUCAAGUUAAUAUCUUGUGGUUUUAUUUUUCUCUUUUCGUCAGCUCCUCCGUUAAUAUUUCGUUAAAUUAUAUAUAAAAAACUUUAUAUAUCCACCUAGGUUUAUCGAAUUUUCAUUUUAGUACCCUUUAGUUUUAACUUUGUCACUGAUUUAACGAAAAAGAAAUGGUGAAAUGGAUAAUAAAAAGAAAAAAAUGAAAUCACAGGGUACUAAAUUGAUACACAAAUCAUAGGGUACCAAAAUAAGAAAGUGUGAAACCACAUAGGUGGUAUUUGAAAUUUUCUCUUGUAUAAAAGAACUAAAGAAAAAUUGUUAAAAAUUUAGGGACAAUUAGUGUGGAAAUAGAGAUGUCAACGGGUCAGAUUCGGGACGGAUUUUUAAAAAUUCGAAUCCGAACCCGACUUCAAACCCGAGACCCGCACCCUAACCCGAGCUCGACAGAUUUAAAAAUUCAUAUCCAAACCCGAAUCCGACCAAAAUUCUAAAACCCAAACCCGAAAAUUUGAACACGAAACAAUUAUUUCUUUUUUCAAUAUUUCAAAAUAUAUUAUAUUAAAUCUAAAUUUUUAAAAUACAAAUUCAAAAAUAACAUCAAUUAUUAUAUAUAUAUAUAUAUAUUAUAUAUUAUAUAAUAUAUAUAUAUUUUAUAUAUAUUAUAUAUAUAUGAUAUAUAUAGUAUAAUACCAAAUAAAUUCGGUAUUCGGGUUCGGCGUUCGGGUUGGGUACAGUCAAAAUCUAUCCGUGGAAUUUCUAUUUUUAAUAUCCAUAUCGAAUCGCAUACCAUUUAAUUAGCUAUCGAAAAUAUCCGUUUCUAUUCGGGUUCUGGUUCGGAUAAAAUUUCAGGAUAUUCCAUACCCAUUAAACAUUUCCUAUGCGGAAAUGAAAAUUUUAGGACCAAAAAGACAUUUCUUUUGAAUGUCUGGGGCUAUGUGGCAAUUUACCACCUUCUUCGUUUACCGUGAGAUAAAGUGCGGUUAAAUCCAAACCCAAAAAGAAGAGAAGAAAGAAAAUGAAAAAUCUCACGCGCAAUGUCGACCUCCGCGGCCCCUCGAACCGUCGCCGCCCGCCUCCCUUCCUCUCUCUCCGUCUCAUCCCCACCAACCAUACCUCUCUCCUCCCCAUCUCCCUCCCCUCCCACCCGCGCUCCUUCUCCCUCUCCUCUCUCCGAAACCCUAUGCUCCCCUUCCCCCCCUCCCCCUUCCUCCCCCGCCGCCGCCGCCGCAGCUCUACCCCGUCGCAGUCGCCGUCGCCGCCGGUUCCCACCACCGCGCCCUCUGCGGCAUCGGCUUCCCCCCGAAGCCCUCCUCCCGCGCGCCGCCGCCGCCCCUGGACCAAUCCGUCACCGUCGCCAACCCCGCCGGGUACAUCCCCAACGCGAGCCCCACCGCCGUCAUGAACCUCCCCGGCGCCGCCGCCGCCCCCCAGGCCCGGCCCUUCGUGUACGGCGUCCCCGAUCACGCGGCGGCGCACGCGAUGAGGCCGCCGCCGAUGCAGGCGCAGCAGCCCCUGCCGCCGCUCGCCAUAGCUAGGCCAGUCGCGGCCGCUGGAGGAGGCGGCAGCGGCGUGGUCUCGCUUGCGGUGCCUCCGAAGGGCGUUCCUGCUGCUGCUCAUUCUAAGGUCUCUUCUUUUCUUUCAACUCUCUCUUUCAUUAGAUUCAGUUAAUAAAGCCGUAAAAAACGUAUAAAACUUUUCUCUACUAUAGGCUAUUUGAUUUGACUACCCAACCUUUCAAAAUUUCAAUUUUAGUACCCAAAUAAUUCGGCAGUUCUUCGGAUACAGAAUUUAAACUAAUUGUUUACUUUAAUAAAUUUAUAGUUAUGUAAAUUAUAUAAAGCAUACUGUGUAAACCCGUGAAGAUUAAUGAGGCAUUCAAAAUUUGAAGAUAAAGAGUCACUAAUUGGAUCAAAUUAAAUAAAUUAAAAGGUCAGAUAGUAAAAAUCAAAAUUUUAAAGAUUAGAUAGUCAAAUUCAAAUGGUGGGUGAUGGUUGAGGUAAGCUUUAUACAUUUUCACCUAACAAAGAUUGAACUUGAAUGAGAUGUUUGAGGACUCUGUCUUAUGUUAAUCUUGUGGUAGCUUUUUCUGAUUCUGCACUUCAAAUAGUCUUAAAGAUUGUUUCUUUCUUAGUUUUUCGGUUGGGAAAGGGAGAGAGGUGUAUUUCAGUAAUGAAAUGUUAUAGGGGAAAAUAUCAUGGUGAAUGUAUGUGCUUUCUUUGUAAAUUUUCAAUUAUUCAUCUACGUUAGGAAUUUGGACUUUUGUAGGGGAAUGAUAAGCCUAAGUUUCACUACUUCUCGGUGUAUUUCAUUAUGAUAGGAUUCAAUUCUACACAAGUAAUUGUAGAUUUUCUCUCCUUAUUGUAUUAGAUACUUUCCAGGAGAGUGGAUAUAUAUGUUUUUUUGCAGGGUGAAAAAUAAUGAAAGUACUAGGUUUCCAAGAAUGCAUGGUUGUGUGUUUUUUUUUCCUUUUGUUUUUUUUUGAGUUAACAAUGUCUUGUUCCUUUCCAUUUUAUUUGUUUCACAGAUCAUUUUGUUGAGAUAAAUUCUUUUGUAUGUCUAACUUGCUUAGGUUUGCUCGUUGCCAACCGUAUCUUCAGCUCAUGAUUAUGGCAACUCUAAGGAGAGGUAAUAUGCAAGAUCCAACAUUGGUCUACUCGGUUGAAUUUUCUUAUUGGACAUAGGCACUUAUGUGUGUCAAACUUCUUGCAGGGAUAGGAGCGGAGAAGAUACUCUGAUGACAAUUCACAGCCGAAAAGUAAGUAAAUCAUUACAAGUUUCCGAAGUUUUGAAAGUUAGAGUUGGGAUAACAAUGCAUGGAAUAAGCUAAUUAUGCUUCUUGGAAAUUGUUUGACCAGAUUUAGGCCUAACUAGGUAAUGCAGUAGCCAUGCAACACCCUCUUUAAUGCUUUAGAGGGUUCAAAAAGUUCAGGAGUGCUUUGGAACUUACCUCCUCAAAUGCUAUAAAACGAUGGUGGGAAUUGGGAAACACCAUCGGCUGAUGCUUCUCCGAUAGCAGUUCCCACCAGCAUUUUUUAGCAUCAGAGUAGGGAAGCUUGCGCUUCCAAAACUUUUUCGGUCCUCUCAUGUAUCAAAGCAACCAGAUUUGAAGCAUUCCCAAACUAGGCACUAGUCGGCAGAUGUUCUUAAGAUGGUUGAAAGUGAUGAACAGAUUUAAUCCUCUAUAUCACAAAGGAUCCUGAUAUUCUCUAUGCAGACAUUCCUAUUUUACAUAGAGGAAGUUUGUCCAGAAUUUGGACGUUUAUGAAGAAACAUGCUUGGUAACUUUAUGCAUGGUGACAUCUUAAAUGAAGGGGAGAAUAUUUUCUUAAAAUCUUUAAUAGGUGGAAUUUUCAAUAUCAUAUGGGGAAAUAUAAUCUACAUUGGAAGAGAAAUUAGUAAAUGUUAAACAAGGUAUGGUUGGGUUAGUUUUUUUCCGGAUUUGGAGUCUAGGAUGGUGAAAUAUCUAUAGUCUUCAUGAACUUGCUUUUAUUAGUUGUGAAUGUUGUGCAUGAGAUAACUUUACUGGCGAUUUAAACUGAAGUGGUGGCAAAAGUUCGCAGUGCCAGAGAAGGAAGUCAAACAGAAAUGAAACAAGUUAAGAGAGGAAAUGGGAAAGGGCACGGGCAUGCUUUAUAUCAAUUUAUUUUUUACAGCACUAAUAGAUGAAAGAUAUGUUGACUAAAACUGUCUGAUACAAGUCUUAAACUGUUUCUUUCAGUAGAUUUUUGUUAUAUUUUGACAUAGAUAGUGGAUGAAGGGUGUUUUAAGCCAUUUUACUAAUGGUUAUGCUUUCAGGGAUAUUAUGAACAAGCCAUGGUACUAUAUACAGUAUUAAACGUGUGAUAAAGACCUUCUAUCCUGGUUGACCAAACCAAAGCCUACUUUUGUGACAACAUCGUAUAGAUAUUUUUCUGUCGUACAAGGGAAGGAUGUUUAGCCAUUACCUUUCACAAUUAGUUAUCCAAGCUAGCUGACAGAAUGUUACUUUUGUUUUUUCAUCUUCGAAUGAAGUUUUUCACUGAAAAUGCUCACAUGACAUUCUUUACAUUACAAGCAUUUAAUGUUGCACCUUGUCAUAUGAAAUCUAUUAUUUUAAUCAAGUCAGUUUACUUGCCUGUGAGAAAAUAAAACUUGUGUGUAUACACUUCAUUUGUUGGCUAACACUUACGGAAACUUCUCUUGUCAAAUAUGUCAAAAUGUUCUUUAUUGAUACUUUUUGUUGUUUAUACCUCAUGAUUUUAUUGCGGUUUUGAAGGUCCGGAUUUUGGAUAGCGAGUCACCCUCCUUAUAUUCCCUUUGUCGAGCUUGGCUACGAAAUAGUGUGCCGCAUGAGAGUCAGGUUCGUACACACCUUUUUUGUAUUUGAGACUUGGUUACCAUGUCAAGGACCAAACUUCUGUUGAACUCCUGUUGUUCCUGCAUUCCAUCUUUCUGUUUCAGUAAAAUCUUGGUAUGGCAGAUGCUAUUUGGUAGUUCUGGAAAACGUUAAGAUCUCUUUAUUUUGAAGUUAGAAUCACCCUAAGUCUGAACCAUAUGUCCACUGCCAGUAAGGAUUUUUCUGCACCAUCUGUAUGUUGCUUGGUUGUCUUGCCUUCUGAGAUUUGAAACCAGCUGUAUAUACUACAUCACAAAAUAGUAUUUGAUAUUGCUUUUACAAUAUUUAUUUUCUCAUCAGAUCAACAAAAGAAAUAGAAAAUUGCAAAGAUUGGAAAAUUCUUAUUAGUAACAGAGGAUGUGAGAUCAGAUAAAUCAAUUAUUAUGAUUGUUUAGUUGAGGAACAAUAAAUGGUCAAAACAGCAAGAGAAUUGAACAAAUAAGUAGUUUUGAAAAAUGUUGCCAGUAACAGAGGCUGUGGGAUCGGAGAAAUCAAUUAUUUAAGACAAAUUGUUGCUGAGCACAGCAACAGUGAAUUCCUUUCACAUCUACGAGGGACAUCUCUAUUGAUUCUUGUAGUUAUAAUAAAGCAUAGGUAUAUUUGAAGCCCAAAUAUGCCCCUUUAAGUGGAUAAUAACUGUUGACUAUCCAUCUGAGUGCUAAAAUGUAUUGUUUCCUUUAUUGGGAGCCAGGCAUGAUAGGCGUAGUCGAUUUUUGAAGGAUCUUGUUGAGUUGACCAAGUGCUGAGCUAAUUCAUGAAAUAACCGAUUUGAAACUGCUUCGACUUGUCAUUUCUGAUGUCAUUACUUCCUAAUGCAGUUUCUUUGGCAUGUCUGGAAUUUGAUUUCCUUUUGACUGAUUCUACAUAUUAAUGCAGAUAUUUGUCUUCCACAGUUUGGCUUUGAGUUUUUGGUCUGAACGUGAACGAGCUGUGGUGUCAUAAUCGCUACUUGCUUUCGUUGUAUUAGCUACAGAGUACAUGAAACACUCUCGAGCUCUGGUGUCAUAAUCCCUACUCACUUUCGUUGUAUUAGCUACAGAGUACAUGAACACUCUCGAGCUGUGGUGUCGUAAUCCCUGCUCACUUUUGUUGUGUUAGCUACAGACUACAUGAAACAGUCUCCCAUCAAGGCCUUAUUCUUCUCGCUUGUGUCCUUCAACUGAACUAACAAGCUAUUGCCCAAGUCCACCAGCACAACUCCCCUCCCGACNACAGACUACAUGAAACAGUCUCCCAUCAAGGCCUUAUUCUUCUCGCUUGUGUCCUUCAACUGAACUAACAAGCUAUUGCCCAAGUCCACCAGCACCACUCAUCUGCUUUUUUAACCUUUGCAGCCGGUCAUAAUGGAGUCAACUUGAUCGGCAAUUAUUAUCAGUGGCCUGGACAUAUUACUGUACAGCUCUUCCCACCUUCCUGUAUUUUGCAUGGCCUUCGCUUCAAUCAGAGUCAACAAAGCCAAUUGUCUUUCCUAACUUUACAUAAUUUGUUACUCUGUGUUUAAUUUUUAUUAUUCAGGACUGAUGGCUCUCUUAUCGUUUCGUUUUCCAUUCUAUUUGUGACUAAUUCGUUUGUUCAUUUUCAGCCAAAUAUUGGAAACAGUGUUGAGCUUCCAAAACCCUUGCCUGCUUCUAUGAUUGACGCUAGCAUAUUGAGGGACGAUGCAAAUGGCGAUAAGGAUGACGAAAGCAAUGUAAGAGGUUCAUUUUCAAUAUUGAUUUGCCAUCUUAAUUGUAUUAAUAUCUCGUUUUGAUUUCAUACAUGCGGUAGUAUGCCGACAGGCACGAAGAUAAUAGAUUAUUUCAUUGCAGUAAUCUCAUCUUUUCUUCUUAUACCAUGACAAAUUCUAGAAGAUACUAAUGUUUUCUAAAUUUGUAUUUUUCGGGUCAUAUAUGUGAAAUGUGUGAUUAUUCUAUUUCCUCUUGCAGCAUGUACGCUCUGCCGAAGAGUUAUCCACACAAGAUUUACUAAAUGAGCACAUAAAGCGUGGUAAAAAGAUUCGUGCUCGGUGAGUUCCAAUUUCUUUCUAUGGUAUAAUUAUUUAUUGAGCUGCAUACGAGUCAAUAAGAAAAAGUAUGCCAUUAGAUUUAAUAAUUAUAAACUUGAUUUUCGAAGAAACAAUUUUGUUUUCGAAGACUCAUUUUUUGCUUGUUAUGUUUGUUAUAUCAGAUUAUUAAUCGCAAUCAUAAAAGAAGGGAUCGAGUAUAAUGAGUUCCAAUCUACGGUUCUGCAGGUUGAGCAAAGAGCGCCGACUACGGAUCGAGAGGUACAGAGAAAGGCUCACCCUCCUCCUCCCUCCGAACCUUGAGACAGCGCGACACGAAACUGAGUAACUUCGCCUGCUUUUAAUCGCAUAAUCCGUGAAUUUAAACAAUUCUAACAAGAAAAAUAAGGGCUUGUACAGAGCAAUUUAUAGGUUAGGAUUUGUAGGAUGCACUUGUAUAUCCAAUGCUUGAUGUUCCUUUGUUCUUUCGCAGCAUCUGCUGCAUAGUGUUAAUUAGUUUCUACUUUCUGAGCUCCUAGUGGAGUGUAAAUGUUGCAUGUUUGAAGUGAUUCAUCAUCAUAGAGAGAAGGAUCAAAUCUUUUUUUUUUCUGAGUUUGAGCACAGGGUUUCUCUAUGAUCUUACCAUUUUGAAUAUGCAAUAUUUUAACAUGCAUGAAGUGUUUAGAAAUGUGAAUGAUUUAUUAUUAUUAUUAUUUUUAGCAUCAGUUUGAGUUGUUUAACAUCUGAGAUGAGAUCAUGUAGCUACAGCAACCCUUUGAUAUUUACUAGCUUAUCGUUUGCAAAAAUGUAUGAAGACCCCCUCACGUAUAUGCUCGUUAGGACUAGGCCCUUCAACUGUUUUUUUUUUUUUUUAUGGGUAAACUUCAAAUACCACCCCUAUGUUUUGCACUCUCUCACUUUCGUACCAUAUGGUUUAAAGUGUAUCAAGUUAGUAUUUUGUAGCUUUUUUUUUAUUUGUCAGCUCCUCUGUUAAUAUUUCGUUAAAUUAUAUAUAAAAAACUUCAAAUACCUCAUCUAGAUUUAUCGAAUAUUUACUUUAAUACUCUUUAGUUUUAACUUUAUCACUGAUUUAAUAAAAAAAAAUUAGUAGAAUGAAUAAUAAAAAGAGAAAGGUAAAAUCACAGGGUAUUAAAUUGAUAUAUUUUAAAUCACAUAAUUUUGAAGUGAGAAAGUGUAAAACUACAUGGUGGUAUUUAAAGUUUUUUUUUUUUUUAAUUCACAUCCGCUCAACUGCUUCUUUACAAAUUAAAUAAUUUUAGUUUAAAAAGAGUUUUUUUUCUUUCAAACUCAUAUUACUGUUCAUAUCACAUUAAAUAAUUUUAAUUAGUUUUUAAUAAUAAAAUUUAGAGUAAUUAAAUUUUAUAAAAUUUCUAACAAUUAGUAUUAGAACAUUAGGGCUACUAAUCAAAAAAAUUAAAAGGUCAGGGGUCUAUUCUGAAUGGCCAUAGUUGAAGGGCAUGUAUUUUUACCAAAAAAUAAUAAUAAUAAUAAUAAACUCUAAUUUUUGUUUAAAUUAGUUUUAGUUUCAGAUCAAAUAGUGAAAGAAAAAUUAUUUUUAUUUAAACUUUAAUAAAUACAUUUAGGGGCCCUUUGAUUGGAUGUAAUUAUAAAUGCAGUGUAGUUAAAGAUGCAUGCGGUUGAAAAUACAGCAAUUAUAAAUACAUGAAUCUUAUUUGGUUGGAUGUAGUAGAAAGCGCUGCAAGUAUAAAUAAUUUAUUUGGUUGCAUGCAAUUGAAAAAUAAUUUUUAAAAUUUUAUUAUUUUAUAUAUAUGAUGGUGAGAUUACCUCCAAUGUAAAAAAAGAAAAAAAAAAUUUGUUUAAAAAAUAUUGAAAAAGGUAAGCAUACCUUUUAUUUAAAAUUACUCACUCCAAUUGCUGUAGUUGGAACUGCGGUCAAUUAGGGUGUAGUUUGAACUGCAUUGUAGCAGUUGGAGUUAAAUAUAUCAAACCAAUCACGAAAUUUGUAUUUACAUAUAGUUACAACUGCAGUACAGUUACAACUACAUGCAACCAAACCAAACGGCCCCUAAAUGUAGCAGCUCUUCCCUGUUCAUACCGAGCUCCCUCUCUCUCUCUCUCUCUCUCUCUCUCUCUCUCUCGCCAUGUCUCCUCUUUCCGUCUCUUCGCUCUCCUCCUCCUCCAUUCCCACCAUUCCCAAAACCCUAACCCUAACCCCGACCCACCCUCUUCCCCGUCGCCUCCGAUUCAAACACCUACUCCCUCCACGCCGCCCCCUCUCCCUCUCCUCCCCUUCCUCCUACUCCCCUCUCCCCCUCAUCUCCGCCACCUCCUCCUCCAUCCCCGUCGAGGACCUCGUCGAGAGCGACUGGUCCUUCCUCGACCCCCCGGACGACGCCCUGGUGGAGUCCGCGGGCCCCUGCGAGCUCCUCGUCGCCGUCCACGAGUCGCUCUUCGCGCUCGCGAUGAUCAAGGAGGCCCACGAUCGCGUCCGGUGUUGGCAGGGCGGCGCCGCCGCCGUGCCGGAGAAGUUCGCCCCGUUCGACGCCGUGUUCGUUUGCUACUUCCCCGGGAUGGGGCUUUCUAUCGCAGAGCUCUUGGAAUCUCUCGCUCCGCGAUGUUCUCCAGGUUUAGAUUCGUCCUCUUCUUUCUCCUUCCUUGUUAAAUCUGCUUCUGCUUCUGCUUUUAGCAACAGCAUCAUCUAGUCGAGCUUUUGGUGACCAAAAUUUAUCUGAUACUUCUGCUGUACUUGGAAUUAAAGCUGAGAUUCUGAGAUCCAAAAAUAGAAACAUCAAUUUUGUGCUUCUACUUCUUUAGGAGAGAUUAUAUUAGAGGCACUUUAGUAUAACACUUUCCUAUUCAAACACCACUACACCCUUAAGUAGGGCUUGUUUGUCCUAGCUUCUGAAACAACUUAUCUACUCUAAGAAUUUAGGUUGUGGCCAGAAGCUUCUGGCCUGAAAAAUUUUAGAAAAAAAAAUAUUGUUGUGUUUUUUUUUCGAAUAGCUCUACUUCUAACUCCUUUGAAGUUUGUUUCUUUAGUUCAUGUUGUUGGAAUUAGGAAACAGUGAAAAUUUACAAACUAGAUAGCUAACGUAUUCAGAAACCGAAAUUGGAUUGGCUUGCUUGUUUACUAGCCGAGCAGUUCGAUCCUCCUUAAAUCACUUAUUAUAGACCAAUCUUUCAUGAUGGAGUUGUGCAUUAGUGCCUUCCGGAGGUACAGCUAUUUUGACUGAGAGGUUUUCAAGAACACCUUGUUUGUUUGCUAGUAAAUGAGUGUUAGUUCAAGUUAAUUGUAAUGGGAGUAGUCUUCGGUUGUAGAAAACAGCAAUCUUGUAGGUGAUUGUUAUUGCUGGCGCUGGGCGGAGUAAAUAUACGUGGUUAAUUGUUGAAUGUUGUUAGUGAUAGGGAUAAAGAAUCCUGUAAUGGGAUAUCACUUGCGAGAUUGAUGUUCCUUUUUCUGGGAAGAGAAUAGUAAGAGGAGUGAAAAGGAGAAAAACCGGAACAGCAAGAGGGCAUGGAUCAUCGACUCAAAAGCAUUGGUUUUGAAAUGGAAGUAGUUAGGGUUUGAUACUUCGGGAAAUACCUUUAUCUAUCUCUUCCUCUGUGAUUAUGAAUGUAUCCGUGUACUCGGAGAGUAUUUCAGGGCAAUAAUUUUGACCUUUUAUCUGUUGGAUGCCGCAUUGCAAUUCAAGGACGUGUCGAUUACGGAUCGGUUACUUGUGGCAGGCAUUGAGGUUCUUGCUUAUGCCCGCUAUUUGCGAUGUGCAUCCAAUGGAUUAAAAGUUGGAAGUAUUUGCCCUCAAAUUAGAAUUCUAUAUCAAAUUUUUGGGUGAUAUCAUUAUAACUUCUCUGAAGUAAAUUAAUCGGUGUUAGCUUUUCAGGACACUAUAUGAUUAUAGAACUGCCAAACUUCAACCGUAUUUCCGUUGCUACAUGACUAAAUUGCAAAUGACUUGACAGCAACCAACCCUUUCAAUUCGAUUAUACAUUUUUUAUUUUGCUUUUGACGAUUUCUUAUGCUGUUGUUAAGGUGCGAGAGUAGUCAUCUGCUUCGAUCAAGGGAGGCAGGUUGUCGAACAACAUUGGCAACAGUAUCCCGACAUGGUAACCGCCGACUUGCCUGACAAAGCUCUUCUGGAGAAGGCCGCAACGGAGAAUUCGUACCAGAUAACGGAAUUCGUCGAUGAGCCUAACUUCUACCUUGCUGUGUUAAGAUGUCAGAAAUAAGGAUUUUCAGUUCUGCAACAAGUGGUAACAAAGUUUUCUUUCUGGUGUAAAAAAGCAAAUACAAUUUUUUGUGUGCUUCCUUUUCCAGUUCCAUGCCAAUAUAAAUAUUGUUCGAGCAUGCUUGCAUAUGAAUCUUUUCUAAUGAUUUCUCAUUUGAUUCCGGAGUAGGAACAUAGACUAAUCAUUUUGAGUCGAUUAUUCAACCUUUUAAAAUUUCAACUUUAUUAUCCAGUCUUUCAAUUUGUUUGAUUUUACUGACUUUAAAAUUUGAGCUAAUUGCGUAUUUUAAUAAAUUUGAAAUUCUAAGAAUAGAAUGAAAUGUACUAACGUAUUCAAAUUUUAAAGUCAAAAUGUCAUUGACUGUCUCAAAUCAAACAGAUUGAAAGGUUGGAUAAUAAAAUUAAAAUUUUGAAAGAUUAGAUAGUCGACUCAAAAUGAUCUAUAGUUUAUGUAAGUUCUGUACGUUUUUAAAAAACGGAUUACCAAACGCUCUCGCAGCAAAAAUUAUUUUUGGACUUAAAAUUAUUUUCCAGAAUCUGGGCUAAACACCUCCUUCCUACAUCUUGAUUUUCCCUUUAAAUGAUGUAGAAGAUUACAGGGACCUAAUUUUUGUUUUUCAAAGCAGGAGAGACAUGAAAUUAUGAACCCUUUUUAUUUUAAUGGGAAGAAAGAGUGGAAAAGAGUUGUGAAGUUGUGCAAGUAACUUGCCCUAGAUUGGGAGGAUUCUAUUUCCUUAUCUAAUUAUUAUUUUGGAAAAAUUAGUUGGGGCAAUUGCUUAUAUAUACUUCUGAAAAUUUUUCAACUUUCUUAGUAUUAUUAAAAAUAUAUUUCUAGAGUUAAAUUCUCUUAGUAAAAAUCUUAGGAACAGCCAUUAAUUUUAGAAAAUCUCACCGACAGUCCCUAUAGCAAGUGACAAAGGGCUUGGUGGUUGGUACCCGAGACCCAAGUUUGAGUUCUAGUUGAUUCAUAUUUUCAGCUAAAUUUAUUUCUAAAUGAAAUAAACGAAGUGGAUAGCGUGCUACCUAACUCUCUCCUAAUGCAAUUGAACCCCUUAAUAUAAUAAUAUAUAGUAAGUAUAGGGCGAUACCACAUCAUUUAAACAAUAACUAAAAAAAAAAAAAAAAAAAAAAAAAGUUUCAUUUUGCUUUUUUAAAUAUACUUUUCUAUCAUCACUUUAUUUACCCAUAGGUUAGGAACAAAAGAAGUAUUUUAACUUUUUCACUUUUCAAAUAUAUUAUUUUUUUGCUCCAAUUUUCUUAUUUGCCCUUAAGUUAGGGACAAAAUAGGUAUUUUAAUUAGUUUUUAACUAAGGUAGAAAUUUAACUCAGAUUUAACCUGAAUUGACUUAACGGGCACUAAUAGCAGGAAUAUUUUUGAAUAACAGAGAAAUAUAUAAGAGGUACAUUUGAAACAAAAAAAAAAGAAAUAAAUAAAAUAUUUCAGAGGUUUUGAGAGGUAUGUCGGCAAUUAUUCCAAAUUAAUUUGUGCAACUUGCUUAAGAAUUAUAUUUUCCUUUCAUCACCUUAUUUAAGCAAAAAAAAAAGAAAAAAAAAAAAGCAAGGAAAUAAAAUUUAAAAAAGCAAAAUUUAACACGUCGCCUGAGAGAUUCGAACUCUCGCGGGGAAACCCCAUGUACUUAGCAGGCACACGCCUUAACCACUCGGCCAAAGCGACGGUUGAUACUUUAGUAUUUAUAUAUUUUGAAUUUAACAUAAUAUAUUAUAUACCUUUUAGUAUUUUAAACCCCUCAACACUUAUAAAAAUAUCAUAUAUAUAUAUAUAUAUAUAUANAAAUUGUAGGAUUAGAAUGAUAUUAGUCCCCUAGGGUUGAGUGGUCCCUACUGGGUUAUAUAUAAUAUUUAAUCCAAUGGUUAGAAAUGAUGAAAGGAGUUGAGCUAAAAGUUAAAAACUUGAUAGCAAAAGGCCCAUUUUGCUAUCAAGUUUUUAACCCUUUGAUGAGAAAUUGUAGGAUUAGAAUGAUAUUAGUCCCCUAGGGUUGAGUGGUCCCUACUGGGUUAUAUAUAAUAUUUAAUCCAAUGGUUAGAAAUGAUUAUAGGAAUUGAUCCAAAGGCUAAAAACUUGAUAGCAAAAAGGAUCUUUUACUAUCAAUAGUAUUCUAGCCCAACUCUAUAUACAUAUAUAUAUAUAUAUAUAUAUAUAUAUAUAUAUAUAUAUAUGUAUAGGCUGGGGCUACUAUACUCUUAUGAAUAUAGACCCCUUGUACUCAUAAAUUUUUAACCGUUGAUUAAUAGGAUGUGUGGUUAGGAUGAUGGUGGUCCCCAUUUAGAAUGAUAGUGGUCCCCUAGGGUUGAGUAGGUAGUUGGUUGAAUAGUAUGAUCUAAUGAGUGGAAAUGAUUAAAGGAAUAAAUCUAAAGGCUGAAAACUUAUGAGUAUAAGAGAGCCAAUACUCAUAAAAGUAUAGUAGCCGGACUCUAUAUAUAUAUAUAUAUAUAUCCCCCAACUUAUUUUUUUCAAAUAAAUCCACCGUAUAUUUCUCCAUUAUUCAUUCAAAAAUAACCCCGCUGUUAAUACCCGUUAAGUCAUCUCAGGUUAUAUUUUUACAAAGUUACAAAAAAAAUCAAAAUACGUCUUUCGUCCCAAACUUAAGGCGAAUAAGAAAAGUUUGUGAUCGUAGCAGAGUAUAUUUGAAAAGUCAAAAAAUUAAAAUGCCUCUUUUGUCCCAAAAUUAAGAACAAAUAAGAAAAGUCGGUGAAGGCUUGAAAUUGCAAAAUAGUAUUUUCACAGAAAUAACGAUUAUUGUUAACCAUUAACUGAAAGAAUUUAAUUUUAGAGAUAUAAUUGAAAGAAUUUGAGACGUUAAAAAAAGUAUUUUUAACAUUAGCCUUCUAGGCAGGCUAAAUAAAAAGGUCAAAUUGUUUCAAAAGUAUGUAUUUAAGCAAUUAUCCUUUAGGGAUUGUUUGGUUCCACUAAAACUGUGACACCCCAUUAGUCCCACAUCGGAUAGGAAUGGAAUUAUCAUUAGAUAUGUAAGAGAACUCACGUCUAAUAACAAUAAUUGGACUUAAGUAUUUUGGGCCGGUGGUUUAAGCCCAAUGAGUUAUUGUUGCUAAAAAUCAGCCUCUUGAGCCGCGCAUUUUUUAGCAUAGUUUUUGUUUUCCGCCCUCUGUCCGCGGAAAGCGAAAACUUGUUGUUUUCAGAGAAUCUACAAAAUAAUCUUCCAAAAAAGUUUUUUAAAGAAGUUUUACAGGGAUCUAAAGAUUCUAAACACACCCUUACUGAAAUUUUUUUUGUAGUUUAUCCUUAAAAAAAAAAAAGGUAAACUUUAAAUACCACCCUUGUGGUUUCGCACUUUCUCACUUUAGUACCAUGUGGUUUAAAGUGUAUCAAGUUAGUGUCCUGUGAUUUUAUUUUUAUUUUUUCGUCAGCUUUUUCGUUAAUAUUUUAUUAAAUUAUAUUAAAAAAACUUCAGAUACCCUACCUAGGUUUAUUGAAUAUUCGCUUUAGUACCAUUUAGCUUUAACUUUGUCACUGAUUUAACAAACAAAAUUAGUGAGAUCAAUAAUAAAAAGAUAAAAAUGAAACCAUAUAACACUAAAUUCAUACACUUUAAAUUAUAGGAUAUUAAAAUGAGAAAAUGUAAAACUACAGAGAUGUUAUUCGAAGUUUUUCCAAAAAAAAAAAAAAAUUGAGUAA